AUGCCGGACCUGCUCGCCGCAUUCCAGCAGUUGCACCAGCUGAAUCGGGCGAGCCUGCAUCGCCGGAACACGGCUAACAUUGUGUUGUUGGCCAAAAAGGUGGACGCAACUUCGAUGGUGGAUUACAGGCCGAUCAACUUACUCCAUAGUGUGGUUAAGCUGUUCAUGAAGGUGCUUGCGAUGCGUCUCGCACGGCGGAUUGACGAGAUUGUUGGCCCGGCCAGUCUGCGUUCAUCAAAGGGCGAUGCAUCCAGGAUAACUUCAUGUUCGCCCAACGGAUGGCACGCCACUUCCACCGUGUCAAGCGCGCCAAGCUUUUUGUCAAGCUCGACAUCGCCAAAGCUUUCGACAGCGUAUCCUGGCCAUAUCUGCUUAACAUGCUCCGUGCUCGAGGUUUUGGCCCGAGAUGGUGCGAUUGGAUCUCGAUGCUCCUUGCCACCUCCUCGUCGCGUGUUCUGA
rnacentral:rRNA from 1 species